rnacentral:misc_RNA from 1 species
GAUGAAGAACGUAGCGAAAUGCGAUACUUGGUGUGAAUUGCAGAAUCCCGUGAACCAUCGAGUCUUUGAACGCAAGUUGCGCCCGAAGCCAUUUGGUUGAGGGCACGGCUGCCUGGGCGUCACAUAUCGUUGCCCGAUGCCUAUUUCACUGUGAUAGGAAAUUCUAGGGCGAAAGAUGACUUCCCGUGAGCGUUGUUGCCUCGCGGUUGGUUGAAAAUCGAGUCCUUGGUAGGGUGUGCCAUGAUAGAUGGUGGUCGAGUUUGCACGAGACCGAUCAUGUGUGCGCUCCCCAAAAUAUGGACUCUUUGACCCCACACGCGUCUUUUGACGCUCAUGACGAGACCUCAGGUCAGGCGGGGCUACCGGCUGAGUUUAAGCAUAUCAAUAAGCGGAGGA